rnacentral:rRNA from 1 species
GGUGAACGCUGGCGGCAGGCCUAACACAUGCAAGUCGAACGGCAGCACAGUAAGAGCUUGCUCUUACGGGUGGCGAGUGGCGGACGGGUGAGGAAUACAUCGGAAUCUACUUUUUCGUGGGGGAUAACGUAGGGAAACUUACGCUAAUACCGCAUACGACCUACGGGUGAAAGCAGGGGAUCUUCGGACCUUGCGCGAUUGAAUGAGCCGAUGUCGGAUUAGCUAGUUGGCGGGGUAAAGGCCCACCAAGGCGACGAUCCGUAGCUGGUCUGAGAGGAUGAUCAGCCACACUGGAACUGAGACACGGUCCAGACUCCUACGGGAGGCAGCAGUGGGGAAUAGUGGACAAUGGGCGCAAGCCUGAUCCAGCCAUACCGCGUGGGUGAAGAAGGCCUUCGGGUUGUAAAGCCCUUUUGUUGGGAAAGAAAAGCAGCAGGUUAAUACCCCGCUGUUCUGACGGUACCCAAAGAAUAAGCACCGGCUAACUUCGUG